GUUGGGGGUGGAGCGCCGAUAGCGGCGCGGACGGGUUUGGGUGCCGUGGAAGUCGCUGUGGCUGGCCAGCCCUAAGCAGUUAAUAGGGGCGCUCGGGGUAGGGAGGUCUGUCACUGGGCGAGGUGAAGUGAGGAAGGGGAGGGACGUCUUUUUUGCGUUCUGCAUCCGUCUGUCGUCCGUCGGUCUUACGGUGGCCGGGCGUGGGGCUACUCGAGCAGCCUGGCCGUGGCCACCGGCGGCUCUGGGUGCUUGAGGCUUGCGGGUAGCGCCGGCCCCCACGCCGGCCGGAGCAUGCGACUAACCGGCCUCAUCCGCAUGCGUCUUGUCCUGGCUGCCUUCUGGCCCUGACGGCCGGAGUGUCGGAUCCUAGAUGGGGACCCUAGGUGGGAGCCGCGGGGUCACAUCGGGGUCACCCCGGGCUGAGCUCGUCUGACCGGCUCCCGCGCCCCUCCUCCCCCGGCCACCGCUGCCGGGCUCACCUCGCUCCCAUUGGUUCCGGCCAG
rnacentral:lncRNA from 1 species